rnacentral:rRNA from 1 species
UACGUAGGGUGCGAGCGUUAAUCGGAAUUACUGGGCGUAAAGCGUCCGCAGGUGGUUAUGUGUGUCUGAUGUGAAAUCCCCGAGCUUAACUUGGGAGUUGCGUUGGAAACUACAAAACUGGAGUAUGGCAGAGGGGGGUAGAAUUCCACAUGUAGCAGUGAAAUGCGUAGAUAUGUGGAGGAAUACCGAUGGCGAAGGCAGCCCCCUGGGCUAAUACUGACACUCAUGGACGAAAGCGUGGGGAGCAAACAGG